UGAAGUUCUGUGAUUUUUACAUGUUUUUUGGUUUAAAUUUAAAUAAAAAAUUUAAAAAGUUUAAAUAAAACUAAUUAUUUCGAUUAAAAUUGUUGUAAUCCUUAUUAUAUGCAUUUGAAAAAAUAGAUAAAAUGGAAUUUAGUGUUCAUAAAAUAAAGAAAAAUGUACAACAACUUGUAUCAUUGAUUCAAACUCCAAAUGAAAAAUUAAAUUUCUUACUUGAUUUUUUGGAUAAAAAGAGCUACCGCAGCAGUGAUAUUGAAUUUUUGCUCCGAUGUUUAAGCAGUUCUUUACUCGACGAGACGUUAACUAUACCAAUUGCAACGGCAUUUGAAGAUUGUUUAUUGUUGCUUAUAACGAACGCUGUAGGUGGGAAUGAUUUUGAAAAUGCCAUCGAAUAUCAAUGGAAAUGUAUCGCUUUGGCAAAACUUAUGCAUUUGUCGCUUUGCGCUAAACGUUUUGCACUGUCCUAUUUCCUGAACAAGCCGGCUCCAUUUUCAACAUCUUGUGAUGAAGUAGCUUCAAAGAAGUCGAAAACGAAUUUAAACGAUAAACCAGAUGCAUUUGCAAUUAUUAAAUGUUGUUUUUAUCUUUUAAAAGCUGACACGAGUUUUUUUAAGGAUCUUUGGAAUUGGUCGGAAUUUCUUCUUUGUUAUGGCGAACCAUCCGAAAAUGAAAGUCCUCUUUUGAAAGUGUACAGAAAUCACAUAGUCGCAAUGUUAACAAAUAUGAACGCUACAACCUUACACAAAUUGAAUGAAAAACUACCAGAAGAAUUGCUUAUUGAAUUUUACGAGGAACAAGAAUCUAUGAGACUUUUAAAUUUAUCAGAUUCCGUCGAAGAUGAAAUUGCAGAAUCAUCAGAGGAUACUAUUUCUAUAAACGCAAAUAGCGCAUUGUUUGUAACAAACAUUGAAGGAGUAUUUUUACCCAUAUUUAACAGGGACAAUUAUGAUUAUUUUCGCACGAUGGAAAGUAAUCAAGAGAGCAUAGUUCGUGUUGAAUCAACCAGAGUGAAUCUUCGAAGCAUUGCCCUAGGUAUAACUUCUGGAAAAGCCAUUUGUCUCUCUGGUCCGGUAGGCUGUGGUAAAACUACACUAGUUGAGUAUUUAGCUCGUAUGACUGGAAGAAUUGCUCCUAAAAAGGAUGUUGUGGUAGAUGAAUUUAAUUCUAUGUUUAACCAAGAAAAUAAUCAGAUAAUCAGCAAUGUCAACAGCAAUAAUAAGGAAGGUAUUUGUAAUAAGCGAAAAAUUGUCUCAUCUGAUGUUACAAACUCUGCUUCAACGAAUGGGUUUUUGCGAAUUCAAUUGGGUGAUCAGACUGACAGCAAAAUGUUACUUGGUCAGUAUCAUUGCACUGAUGUUCCCGGUGAAUUUAUAUGGCUGCCUGGUGUUCUUACGCAGGCUGUCAUGAACGGCUAUUGGUUGCUUCUAGAAGAUUUGGACUGCGCUACAACUGAUACGUUUACAGUUUUGAGUAGUCUGCUUGAAAACAAUUAUCUUAGUGUGCCAGGAUUUCGAGAUUAUGUUAAAGUUACUCCUGGAUUUCAGUUAUUUGUGACUGUGAGGACACAUAAAUCAUCGUCCUCAAACUGGUCACAGAAGGCAUUGUUUUCAUUAUUGGAGAAACAUCUGUACCCAAUUAACAUUUUGCCAUUGUCCCGAAAUGAACUGUGCGAAGUCAUUAGAAGUAAAUAUUCUAAAUUGGCGACUGUAGCUAAUCGAAUGGUAGACGUGUUCCUUACAUUUUCUAGUGGAGACCAUAAUAUAGCCGACAAUCUUCGCCAGCAAGAGACCAGAGACAAAGCAAGUGCAACAGAAACCUUCCAGCAAUUGCCUUACGAAGAAGUUAAUAUGACAUCUUUAACGAGUUCGGGACGUUUAGUGUCGACGCGUGACCUUAUAAAGUUGUGUCAAAGAUCGAAUCCUUCAUUUUCUGUUACCAGCACAGAAUGUGCAUAUUUUGUAUUUCAAAACGCCGUCGAUAUAUUUUGUUCGUAUUUGCCGAACAGCAAAGAGAAAACGAAAUUAAUAGUAGGAAUCGGAGCAAAAUUGGGAAUUAUACAGUCUCGUUGCGAACACUUGGCCGAUGAAUUCAAGCCUGAAGUUUGCGUAGAUAGCGAACGCAUUAAAGUUGGUCGAGCAGAACUUUAUGCUCGAACACUAUCAUCCUCUAGCGAUGAGAGAAAUGAGAUCGCAAUGAAGGAACUUUCAACAGAAGAACAGUCGUUGAAGAGACUUAAGUUGUCGAACGGUGAAGGAAAGGUCAUACGUCAUUUUUCCACAAAAUCGAACGCUUUAUCAACCACUUUUUCAUUUACACGUCUGGCUUCUUGCCUUUUGGAACGGAUUGCAGUUUGCGUAGCUAAUGCGGAACCAGUGUUAUUAGUUGGAGAAACAGGCGUGGGCAAGACAUCAUCGGUGCAGUAUUUGGCCGCAAGAACUAAACAUAAAUUAGUUGUUGUAAAUAUGAACAACCAAUCUGAUGUUUCCGAUUUAGUGGGUGGUUUUAAGCCAGUAGAUCUUGCAUAUGUUAUUGCUCCUUUGCGAACAGAAUUCGAAGUGCUAUUUAGAAGAACAUUCAAUCAAUCGAAAAAUGAAUCUUUCCUAACAAAAUUCAGCAUCUGCUACAAUCAAGGCAACUUUUCAGUGAUUGUGAAGCUGAUGAUUAAAAUUGUUGAUAAUAUUUUUGAAAAGUCCGAACGUAAUGAACUUAGAGAAAAGGAUAUGCUUUUGAUGCCCCGCUGGAUGGCUUUAAAAAUAAAAUUGCAAAAACUAAAUAGCCAACUCAGUAAAUCUAUUAAUAUAUCUUUUGCCUUUAUACCAGGAUCUCUGGUUAAUUGCAUAAAAAAUGGCGAUUGGCUUCUAUUGGACGAAAUAAACUUAGCUUCAGCCGAAACAUUGGAAUGUUUAUCCACUAUUUUGGAGCCAGAUGGAUCGGUUGUAUUGUUAGAAAAAGGUGACUUUACUCCAGUUAAAAGGCAUCCUGAUUUUCGAAUCUUUUCUUGUAUGAAUCCUAAUACUGAUAUUGGUAAAAAAGAUUUGCCAGUUGGCAUUCGCAACAGAUUUACAGAAUUUUUUGUGGAUGAAGCUGAGACGGAAGCCGAUUUGAGUUUGCUUAUAUCAGACUAUUUAAGUGCUACUGGCAUACAAAAGAAGAGUGUAAUGAGCAUCGUGAAACUGUAUAAACGGCUAAAAUCAUUAGCCAAGCUGGAGCUAAAUGAUGGCCUCGGAAAUAGGCCAGUUUAUUCCUUGCGUACUCUUUGCAGAUCUUUAACAAUAUGUGCAAAAAACUUGUGUGGAUCGAUCGAAAGAAACCUUUAUGAAUCAUUCUGUUUAAGUUUUUUGACACAGCUCGAUCCUCAAUCACACAAUGUAGUACAACACUUGAUAAAAGAGGCGUUGCUUAGCAAUGCUAAAGCCGUACUCCAACAGGCAAUACCAAAACCGGGUGAAAAUUAUCUUAACUUUGAAGGUUAUUGGAUUGAAAAGGGCCCAAAAGAACUACAGGAUUGCAGUAAUUACAUUUUAACAGACAGUGUUAAAGAAAACUUAAAGGACUUGGCACGUAUUAUAUCUAUUGGUAAACUUCCUAUACUUUUACAAGGCCCAACAUCGGCGGGAAAAACAAGUUUAAUUGAUUACGUAGCAAGGCGAAGUGGAAACCACUGUCUGCGUAUAAAUAACCAUGAACACACAGAUCUGCAGGAAUACAUUGGUACCUAUACUACCGACGUUAGUGGAAAGUUGGCUUUUAAAGAGGGUAUUUUGGUACAGGCUAUGCGUAAUGGUUACUGGAUAAUUUUAGAUGAACUUAACUUGGCGUCAACUGAAAUUUUGGAAGCUCUUAAUCGUGUUUUGGACGACAAUCGCGAAAUUUUCAUACCAGAAACCCAAACUGUUGUCAAAGCUCAUCCCAAUUUUAUGCUAUUUGCUACACAAAAUCCCCCCGGUUUAUAUGGUGGAAGAAAAACGCUAUCCAGAGCAUUCAAAAAUAGAUUUAUUGAAUUGCACUUCUCUGAUAUACCACGAACGGAGUUGGAAAUAAUUUUAGAAAAAAAGUGUCUCAUACCUGCUUCUUAUGCCCGAAAAAUGGUUGCUUGCAUGGUUGACUUGCAAAAGAAUAGAAAAUCCACUUCCAAAAACACCUUUACACUGCGUGAUCUUUUUAGGUGGGGCAUACGUUAUACAUUGGCCGAUAAAAAGCUAUUGGAAGACCCAAAAUAUGAUUGGAAUCAGCAUUUAGUCGAAGAAGGCUACUUAGUACUUUCAGCAAAAGUACGAACGGAAAUUGAGUUGGAAGUAAUUGAUGAAACUUUGUACAAAAACUUUAAGAAACGUGUAAACUUAGACAGAUUGUUCGAUACGAGUGGAAAUGGAGAAACAUCGCUUGUCACUAAAUAUAUAAUUGAUGAAAUUCACAACUUUAAAUCUCGCACAGAUAUCGUAUGGACUCGUAAUAUGACACGCAUGGCCGUGCUGACAGCGAAAGCUCUACAGUUUGAUGAACCCGUUCUAUUGGUGGGACCCACUGGCUGUGGCAAAACUACUGUGUGCCAAUUGUUGUCAACAAUCCGUGGUGUAAACUUGCGUAUUCUUAACUGUCAUAUGCAUACAGAAGGUGCAGACUUUUUGGGAGGUCUGCGGCCUUGUCGGAAUAACGACAGUCAACAAGAAACUAAAAAAAUAUUCGAGUGGGCAGAUGGUCCAUUGAUUCAGUCUAUGGAAGAAGGCUCCUACUUUAUGGCUGACGAAAUAUCUUUGGCGGAAGAUUCUGUGCUGGAACGCUUAAAUUGUAUUUUAGAACCAGAACGUACAGUUUUAUUGGCAGAAAAAUGUGGUAUUAUAUCUGAGAACCAAUUAACAGAGGGGAUUGCAAAAGAGUUUGUGGUUCAAGCUAAACCCGGAUUUCAGUUCUUAGCUACUAUGAAUCCUGGUGGAGAUUUUGGUAAAAAAGAACUUUCACCAGCUUUGAGAAAUCGUUUUACCGAGAUAUGGUGUCAGCCUUCGAAUUCUAGAGAUGAUCUCGUAGAAAUUGCUAGUAAUUGUAUUAUUGACCAGAUAAAGAAUACAUCAAUUGAUAGAGCGGAGAUUCUUAAAAUAGCUACAUUCAUAGUAGAUAUUGUUCUGUACAUGAAAAACACAAUUGACAAGUUUAAGUUUUCCAUAAGAGAUAUAUUAGCCAUGGCCAACUUUAUUGUAACAAAUACGACGCUAACCUUCCCCGAAAAAGCGAUAUUUGGUUUGGAAACUACAUUUUUGGAUGCAUUGGAAAUGUCAUUGCAUGAAUCAUCUGAGCAAUUAGAGAAACUUAAGAUACAAAUAAUUGAAUAUGCAAUACAGCAAGCAAAUGAAAUAAUAGGCGAAAAAUUCACUCUAUCUGAACUGUUAAAGAACAAGGGGACUACUGUAGAAUAUACCUCAAAUAAUACUUUUGGAAUUAAGCCAUUUUACAUUAACACGAACAGCGAAACGAACGAAGCUAUGCUAAACACCAGCAAAUAUUUUCUUUUUGAAGCACCUACUACCAAACAGAAUCUCUUUCGUUUACUCUCGGCUUUGUCGCUAAAUAAACCAAUUUUAUUAGAAGGUCCUCCAGGUGUAGGAAAAACAUCUAUAGUUGAAAGCCUCGCUCAUGCUAUCGGAUACAAUAUUGUGCGUAUUAAUCUUUGUGAACAUACUGACCUGGCAGAUCUAUUUGGAACUGAUUUGCCAGCUGAGGAUAAUAUUUCAAAUUUAAAAUCGGAAGAAGAUAAGAAAAACACUAACUUACAAAUCGGUUCCUUUCAAUGGCGCGAUGGUCCAUUGCUAGCAGCGCUAAAAGCUAACAAUACUUGGAUCCUUUUAGAUGAAUUGAAUUUGGCCCCGCAAUCGGUUUUAGAAGGUCUCAAUGCAAUUCUCGAUCAUCGUGGAGAAGUGUAUAUACCAGAACUAAACAAAACAUUCGCACUCAACAAACAAACUCGUGUCUUCGCCAGUCAAAAUCCCCUGAAACAAGGCGGUGGUCGCAAGGGCUUGCCUCAGUCAUUCCUUAAUCGUUUCACAAAAGUGUAUGUACAGAAACUUACGACCGAAGAUUUAUUAUUUGUUGUAGAAGGCAAAUACAAAACCUAUUUUGAUGAACUGAGAGCCAGUUUUGUUAAACUAUUACCACCUUUCCAUGAACGGUCAUCUAAGAAUCUCUUUGACAUACAUAGAUCAAUGAAACAAAAUCAGGAAGACCUUUCUGAAUUGGAUAUGAUCACAGAUCAAAAUGAAUGUUUGAUUCCUGAAUUUGAUUUAUCACUGCGAUUAGUUCGUUUUUCGGAAAUCCUAGAUAAUGGCAUAACAACGAUGGAAUUUGGAUAUAAGGGUGGUCCAUUUGAAAUAAAUUUGCGAGAUAUACUAUUUUGGUGCGAUCUAUUGAAAAGUCCUCAAACUGGAUUCACCGUUAAACACACUCAAGGAUUUAGGCGGAACUUUGAUAAUUUCUUAUUAACCCUCUAUGAGCGCAUGAAACUGGUGUAUUACCAACGAAUGCGCUGUGAGCAAGACAAACAAUUUAUUCGCAAUACAUUCGAAUCUGUUUUCAAAUGCAAUGCGGAAUAUCUGAAUGCGAUAUCUGAAGAUGUCGGUCUUUACUGGACCAAUGAGAGAAUAUACAUUAACGACAUAACUAUUGAUCGUGAUACUCAACCACUGCAUUUCCAAAAACCAAUGGAAUGUUCACCUCUAUUACUGGAAACGCAACGUGAGACUCUGAAAAACUUAGUCGAGUGUGUACAUGUGGAGAAGCCUGUACUUUUGUGUGGUUCAACUGAUACGGGCAAAACAAAAAUUAUUGAUACAUUGUGCUUUAUAUCCAAUCAGAUGUGUAACUUGGACAACAUUGAUGACUCCGUAACAGGGAGUUUCCAACAGAUCGAUCUUAACCGGCAUCUUGAAGAAAUAUCGUUUCAUGUUGAAUGUAUAUAUUUAAAAUUCAUUCAGAACACAAUUUUAGACAGUUCUAGCACAAUUAAAAUGAUUUCUGAAUUGUUGGACUCAUGGAAUACUUACAGUGUUUUACGCAAUUAUAAAUGUGAAUUGACAAACAAAUCGUUUGUUUCUGAGGAACUUGUAAAUUAUCGUAGACGAAUAGAUAAACUAAAUAAUCUUAUUGAAAUCCUGCAAAAAAGUAUUUACUGUUCCGCUAAUGAAAAGUACACCGAAGAGUUAAAUAAUAUUCGUAAUAAACUCAAUUUGUUGAAAUUGCAUGUUAAGAAUACAGAAUCUUUAAAUACAGGCGGUUGUUUUGAAUGGGUUGACUCAAAAAUUGUUAAAUCACUCAAGGAUGGUCAAUACAUUUUACUCGAACAUGUAAACCUUUGUUCUUCAGCUGUCCUGGAUCGUUUGAAUCCUGUCUUUGAGCCGAGUGGCACUUUAAUGUUAUCUGAAAAGGGCGUUACAGGAAAUGAAAAGGCUGAAAUUGUUAAGAAGUCUGAUAAUUUCAGAGCAUUUCUAACGCUAGAUCCUAAAAAUGGAGAAUUAUCUCGAGCUAUGCGUAAUCGUUGCGUUGAAAUUUUCAUAAACAAUCAAACACCUAAUAUGGAUGAUAAACGUAUAUUAGUGUUCCACCAGGGAGUGCGAGACAUAAAUGCCAUUAACUGCAUAAUAAACAUUCAUGACAAAAUUUCUAAACUUACAGAAAUAAAUAACUUAACGAUAUCGCAUCUUACUCAGACUGCCUUUUUGUGCGCUUCAUAUAAGCGAAUUGGCUACCAAAUGAAAAGGGCAAUAUAUGUAAGUGCCAUGGAAGUUUAUGUAUAUUCUGCUUCUACGGAUUUGAUGGGUUACGGUUUAAAUUUUUACCAAAAUAAACUAAGAGAAAUUGUCAUAAUGGAGUCAGAGAAAUUUACUGCCAAUUUACAUCAAGAUCAUUUGAAAGACGUUGUUUUAAAAUGUAGUUCUUUGACCGAAAUUCCUUUAGUGAAUUUGCAAAUUGUUCCUUUAAAAGUUGUUUUGGAUAAUUUAUUGGAUGCAAGUCAAGCGCAAGAAGCAUUAUCUCUAUUAUUUUCCGAAUUUUCAACUAUAAAUAUGGAAAAUAUUAACUUUGAGGACUUUGCAAAGUACUUGAUUUAUAUGACAUAUGAAGCGAGCUCGUUAAAUGAUUUGCGGUAUCGUUAUCUGCAGUUAGAAAAAUGUCUAAAAGACUAUCCAGCAUUAUGGGAACUUUCCAAAACCCUUUACAACUGUAUAGUCAAUACCGAUAACGACAGUAUUCUGCCAUCAUUGCCCUGGAAUACAAAAUUGUAUCCUAGAAUACGUGAUUACAAGUUGGAAACAUCAGAAAAACUUGGUUUCUGUUUGAGCAGCUCUCUAAUUUUUAACAUGUUGAUAGCUCCAUUGCCACAAGAGCCAGUAACAAAAAUGAGCUCUAUCGAUGUACUGACAUAUUCCCAAGCUAUUGCAAAACAGGUUUUAAGCGAUAAACUUAACAAUUCGUUCCUACAACAUUACUCUGAUUUUCUCUUACACCUCCAAAAGGUACUAAAGAGUAGUAUGUACCAGGCCCAGUUGGAUAUGGAAUCAUAUAUUGAAUUAAUCACUGCAUUACAGUGGUUUAAUCGCAUACUGAAUCUAUCGCGAUUGAAUUUAUAUCUAAACAAGGAGGUUAACACUGACCUACUUGAUAAACUUAUAUUACACUUUAAAUGGUUGAACAAGAACCUGAUGACCCUAGUUCACAAAUUACUGCCUAACAUUCAUACAAUAUCGCCCGAACUAUACAAUAGCCAACGACAACUUCUUGAUUAUGUGUCAAGCAUCAAGCAUCCCUUAAAUGUUCGUCGUAAAAUGUAUGCAAAGCACUUAUUAGAAUUCCAGCCAUUUUCUCAAAAAGAAGAGGUGCAAAUCUUUAUGAAAAUACAAGAAUUAGAUCAAUUACUAAGUGUAAUUCCUUUAUAUGGGCAAUUUACUCCUGAGGAUGUGUUUAAAAAGUUCGCUGCUCAAAAUAGUGAAAGCUCACGGCGAGCUUAUGCCAUUAUUUCUAAAAACUAUACUCUGUUCGACUUUAAAAAGACUCAAGAAGUCAGUUUAAAUCGUAAUUGUGGAAAAUUAAUACCAGAAGAGUUGAAAUUGAAUUUACAACAGUUUUUAAGUACUUUAACGGAAAAUAAUUUUAAUAACGUGCAACUUUCUUCCGAAGAUCUUGACAUCAUAGAAUCUGAUCUAAAUGAAAUAUCACAAUUACUUGCUCCUACACCUUUCUCAGAAGCAAUCGCUGAAAAAUCUUACAAUAUGCCGCACGAAAUUCAAUUAAAAACGCUUGCAAUAAGAGAAUACUUUUUAAUUAAAUCAUUAAUAGCAACUAUAGAAAAUACGGCAGUAAAUAGUGUUCAAAUAAACUGUGAAUAUCAGGAGGAAAUUCCAUUUUUAAAUAGCACAACAGUUUCGUUGCUAAAUACAUGUAAACUGUCGUACUUUCAAAAAUAUCGUGAUAUAUGGUUACAUAUCUCCAGUUACAUAAACAAUAUGCAGACUUCCGAAGAAUUUGAAGAUCUUUUGCAAUAUUUAGAUGGAGGCUACAAGCACUUUUCAGCCAUAAACAGACUUGUCUCGAAUUCAGUGCACAGACUGCAACUUGAAAGUCUAAAUUCUCACCUUGAGUGUGUACGAGUUCAUGAUUGUAAAGAUAACAUUCAGAGUCAAAAUACAUUUAAUGGUCCUCCUUUCAUCAACAUCAUGUCUAAUUUAUUAUUCGUUGAUGAAAGUGGAGCAUUUAAAACAGUGCCUUUGCGUGAUUUGGAUCUUUGGAAAAAUUCUUUAAAUCAACUGUGUCAGAUAGUCUGGCACAACUCUAUGCUCGUGACACCAACAUAUAAUGUAGCAUGGAACAAUUAUAUGCGUUCGUUGAGAAAUGCAAAACGUUUAUUGUCAGAAGUGAAAUAUCUUGAGAUGUACUGUCGAAGUGACGCCGAAAAAAAUUUAACAAAUUAUACGGAAUCUUUUCAUAAUUUAAUUGUAAAAUUAAAAGAUUGCACUGCUGACACCGAAGAAAAUAUUUCGGAUAAUACCAGUGCGACUGGAAAUCAAGUGGUUUUGUAUAAAUCUUCUUUAAUGAACACUUUAAUUGGUUCUAUAGAAUUAUGCCUCAUUCCUUUCACACCGCUUAUAGAUCCUGUAGAAAAGAAUCGAUUAAAGAAUGAAUAUAUGGCGGAUGAUAUUUAUAUCUUAAAUAACUUUAAAUCAGCCUACGACUUUUCCAGAAUUUCGAUGAAGUAUAAACAUUUUGGUGAAGAAAUUUAUGAAGCUAUCAAGAGAAAUCUCGACAUUUUAAAGGAGAAACAAAACAAGCUCAAAGAAAAGGUAGCUCUGAGACCAGAGAAAUGUUUAUAUGGGGUUUUGGUCAGGGACAUUACCCACUUCAUAACUACAAAUUGUAAUCCAGACGUUCUAUUAAAACUUGUGAAUAGCGUUGAAUCAAUUUGGGACGUUCUAUUUGGAAAUAUGGAUUCUGAUUGUUUGAGCGGAAUCCUUGAAAGUUGCGAUGAAAUUAUAAAAAAACUCAGUUUAUGGAUUGCAAAUUCUCAGCGUUUUGUUCAUCACACAUUGAAACCGUAUUUGCUUUACUAUCAGGACUUUUUGAAACCAUUGCAAUGCUCAAUCAAUCAACUACGUUUUGGAUUCGAAGGUCUAAAGCUUGUUCUCGCCCAGAUUAAAAAUAAUAUAAUUGAUGAAGGAAAUGGCAUAUGCGUCAACAUUAAUGCCAACAACAAGCUGCACAAAGUGUUGAAAAACAUUGCAGAGUUUCCGACUAGUAAAAUGCUUGAUAUCUUCAAUGUUAAUUCCUCCAAAGAUAUUUUACAAAAUCGUUGUCCUGUAUUCAGUAUAAUUAAUAAAAUGUCUAGAUGUGAAUCGGAUUAUUUCCAUUUGUUGAAAGCCAAGGUUGUUGAACUUAAGAACCGUGUUGAAAUUUCUCACUUUAUCAAUCAGGAGCUAUUCGCAGAAUUUGACUUUGCCUUCAAUAUCAUCAACCAAGUUUGGCAACGUGAAGAAGAACUAAGACGGCAGAAGCAGAAGGAAGAUGAAAGUCUUUAUCUAACUAAAACAAAGUGUGAAGACGAGGAUGAAGAAAUGCAGGAGUUAAAGGAAAUUGAAGAAAUAUUUCCAACUGCGAUUCAAGAAGAUUUCGGUGACUUCAUACAGGAAGAUACUUUGGAGAAAGUGAUCAAAUUGAACACAAAGAAGCCAUUGAAAACUAAAAGAGAUCAUAUUGUUGUACAAGAAAAUGAUUACGCUUUUAUUGCCAAAAACUUCAUCGAAAUCUUAGUCAAAAGCUCUCAAACUUAUUAUCAUCCAAAACCUAAACGUUCUGAUAACAACGAACAAAUUGAUUUUGUAUAUUACUUCAAGGAGCGUUUCCAAGUUUUUCUUAAGAUUUACAAUAAAUACAAAUCUUCUAUAAACGACUGGUUAGAUGAAGAAUGCUUUAGUAGUUUUUACUUCAGCAUGGCCAUCCAAAAAGAUGCGCUGGACGAAAAUCUAUUAACGAAUCUAAAACAAGAGAAACCUUAUAAUUUCUAUAAAGAUUCGAAUAUACAAGAAAUAGUAUCCUGUGGAGAUGUCCUGAAUGACAUUGAAAAGAGAGUUACUGAACAACUAGAAUUAUAUCCCGAACAUGCAACGUUGAUUGAUAUUAAAAAAAUUAUCGAUCGUAUUCGCAUCUUACCAUCGACCGCGCCGGUAGUACGUUUCAAUACUGGUUUUCAAAUACUGCGCCAAAAUGUUGCUCUUUGGAAUGAAGUUGCUCAUAAAAACAACAACCUUAAAAAUGAAGAACAAGAGGUUGCGCAAUUUGUUCAAAAAUGGACGCGCCUGGAACUGCAGUUUUGGCGCAAUUGUUUAGCACAAACCUAUGAAAAAGUUGAAUCAAAUGCAUAUAAAUAUUGGUUUUUCAUUUAUAAUCUAGUCCAUGAAUUCAUUGCUGAACGAGAAAUUGACUCAUCUUUGGCCAACAUCACCUACACAAUGAAAAGGUUUGAAGAACACGAGAUUUUAGACCCGACAGAAACCAGUGCCAAGAAAUUUACGGUGGAAGCCAAAGAUAUUAUUAACAUUUUGAGACAGUUCGUAGAGUCGUCAUGUUAUGGUGAUUUUAGCAUAAGAAUGCAAUUGCUUUUAGCUUUCGAGCUAUAUCUACAUAACUGUAUCAAUUACACUGCGAAUGAUAACAAUAAUACCACUAACGCACAAAUUUGGCAAUUGAUUUCCGGCAUCCGAAAUUUGCAGUUGUACUUUGAUCAAUUUUCUAAGGAAAUUGAAGAACACCAAAAAUCCAUUAGAGCUCCAAUUGAGAAAAAACUUAAGGAGUUAGUUAAAAUCGAAAGUUAUAACAAAGACUUGUCCUACUUUAGCAUGCGAAAUAAUGUCGCUCGUGUUCAUCGAAAUCUUAACAAAUUCUUAAAGGAAUAUGAACAGCAACUGAAGGAGAAAAUAACAGCAGUUUUUCAACCAAAGGAUUCUACUGCCAAAGACUUUAAUUUCGCCAACGAUAAAGGAAAAGAUUUAAGAUUUGAUUCUAAAAUGAAAUAUUAUAUGGUCGAUCCCAAAUAUUUCGUUUUAGCUUCGAAGCAAAAAAGUAAUGCAACUGAGGAAGUGAACAAUACUGAUUCAGCACAAACAUUGCUUUCGAAAGCUCAACGGUUGUUCAACACCUCUCGUAAUGUGGUUAAGGAGACUGUUACAAAUGCCCACUAUCCUAAACUUAUAAUCGCAUUAGACUCUCUGUUAUCUCAACAGUUAGAAAGGUGUGACUAUUUAAGAAAUUUGACUGUCGAUAGGACUAAAGAACGUCCUAAACAAAAGUUGGAAGCUAAACAUAUAUUACAACAGAAACGUAAAGCAUUAACGGAUCUCUUUAAAGCCCUUUCAACUCUAGGUGUUAACUACAAGACCGGUCUCAUGGAAUUAUCGAUGAGCACCGAAUUCGAAGACAUAUUCUUGCCUCCAUUCUGCAUUAAAUCCAUGCUCUCAAAUUUCAAGGAAAAACGACUUCAACCAAAAUUGUUGCAGUUAAAUGAAAACUUGGAUGUAUACUUUAAUAAAUGUGUUUUCAAACUAAAAUUACUGCGGAAUAUAAUGCUUACGCCUUUGUCUGAACUGGGUCCCCCGAAUAUUGAGCGUAUAAAAGGUUACGCUGUCGACAUGUUCCUUUUGGUGCAGAACCAAAGAAAACUCUUAGCCUCUACCACUAAGGUUAUGUAUGAUAAUAGGGUUAUGUUGCAGCAGCUAAAAGACUUGGAAGAUGUAAAUAGUAAAGCUGAGCUUGAUGAGAGCUAUAUGAAUUUCAGUAGAUUCCGUGAUCGAUGUGAUGCCUUGAAAGCUGUUGUUACACGUAUACGCUAUGUUUUCGAACAACUAAAAUUAUAUUUCUUGCGUAUUCCCACCAAUGUGCGAAAGGAAAAUGUGUUAUUUGCUGAUGUGGAUGGUGGAAAUGUAUUUAAGAAUUCAGUAGACUCAAGUGCUGUUAUAUCUGAUUGCGAAAAAGUUUUGUCAUUAUCAAAAUCUGCACUAGAGCGCUUAAACACCGAUACCAGCGAAUUUGUACUUAAAGAUCGUCUAAUUGAUUAUAAAAACACCUACAACAAAUUAUAUAACUCAAUACAGGAUAUCUUAAAAAACUUCAAAACCAAUGAAAACGAAUACUUGCCUAUAGCUAAACCUCUCAUCGACCUAUCUUACAACAUCAAUGAUACCAUUCAAGAGAUAUUUACAGAUGAAAGUAAAUCAAAUUCAGAAUGUAGUUUAGAAAGCAUCGAUCAGCAGCUGGAAUCCAUAAUUCAUUCUAUGCUUCUUUCUUUGCAAAAACUUUACAAAAAAUACCCAUCAAAAACCCAGUCAGAUGAGGAAGAGAAACAACAAACAAAGAAGAAAAAUGACGAUGACAACGAAGAACUUGAUGAUCAGCAUUUGAAGAAAAAACUGUAUGGUGCACUUAAGGAAGAUUGGAAUGUGAUGAAUAUGGAAAAGAUAAAUGAACAAUUAACGAAUGUACUUCUUACACUUAAAUUGUCUGAGCCAUCUGUGGAGAAAAUUGAACUCAUUAAGAAAUUAUUAAGCAUUCAACCGCUUCUUGAACAAUUUAAUUUGAUGGCAGAGUACUUUUUGUGCCAACAGUUGGGAGCGCACAAGGUGUCCGUAAAAAUGUUGUCAAUAAUACUAACCGUAUUCGUAGAGAUCGGCACAAAAGGCUUCUGUGUGCCACAAGAUCUUAUGCAAGACGAAGAAGGGGAAUCAAAGAAAGACCAAAAAGAAGGUGAAGGUUUUGGUCUAGAAGAUGGAACCGGAGAAAAAGAUGCCUCAGAUAAAAUAGAAUCUGAAGAUCAAUUGGAUGAUGCGAAACGCCCUGAGGAUCGUAAGGAUGAAAAUGAUAAAAACGAACCGAAUGAUUGCAAAGAAGAGAAAGGAAUUGAAAUGAGUGACAAUUUUGAUGCAGAAAUGCAGGACAUAGAUAAACAAAACGAAGAGGAAGAUGACAGUGGAGAGUCUGAAAACGAGGAAGAUAUGAGUAAAGAAAUGGGCGAAACCGAAGAGGGUGCAGACAAACUAGACGAUCAAAUUUGGGGUGAUGACGAAGAACCGGAAGAGCAAGAGGAGGAAAAAGAAAUGCAAGAAGAGGAUGGCAAAGGAAAUGGUGAUGAACAGGAUGCCCAUAAUGACCUCAAUUCUAAGAAUGAUACCUCAAAGGACGACGAUGGAAAAAAUGAUCCCGAAAAGGAUGGUUUGGACGCCACAAAUGAACCAAACGAGGAGGACAAGAGAAAACGAGAAGAAAAUGAUAUAGACAAUAUGAAAGAUCAAGAAGAAGGUGAUCAAGAUCAGGUUAACCCAUAUCAUAAUGAACUAGAAGAACCAGAACAACCAGAAGAUUUCGAUUUGGGAGACCUUAAUGUUAACGACGACAAUGAGGAGGAUGAGAAACAGCAAGGCGAAGAUAAUCCUUUCGAUAUUGAUACUAUGAAAGAUAAUAUGCAGGAUGUUGAUGAAACUCAAGAAGACCAAAACGAUAAUGAUGAAGCAGGUGACAAAGACGAAAACAAAGAGAAUGUAAGUGAUGACAGUGAUUCGAAUGAUGAAGACGAUGAUACAAGUAAAUUGCAAAAUGAUGCUGAAACUCCUGAUGAGGAAAAACCAAAUGAAGAAGAAGAAAAUCAAGAAAAUUCAAACGAAGAAGUUGAUGAGCAGAAAAGAGGUCAAAUCGAAGAAGAAACUUCAGCAGAGGAAGAAUCAGAAAAUAGAAAUGAAAAACAUGAAGAAUACGAACAAUCUAAAGAUCAACCCAUGAAAGAAGACAAUAUGCAGUCGGUUCCUGAAAUAGAGCCAAAAGGUUCCAAGGAUAAGUUAGAAGCCGAAAAAACUGACACCGAUGUACAACAAGAUCAGAAUAUAGAUGAACAAGAUACGGGAGAAGAUAAAGAAGGCAUAGGUCAAGCUGAAAAUGAGACCAACGAUGGAGGUCACCAAGGUAUAGCUGAAACCAAGGAGACUACAACACCUGAAGAUAAUAAAAGCGAUGCUAAUACCAAGGAAAAGAGAAAACAAGGUCGCACUGACGAAGACAGAUCAAUGGGACAAGCUGAGCAAAAUAAGAUAAAGCGUCUUAAAACUGUUGACAAACUCAACGAAGAAAAUAAUGUCCAAAACGAAGAAAAUCAAGAUGAGGCAAAUAAUGAUAUGGAAGCAGAGGAAUAUCAACAUGUUAAGGAACCAAAGACAAGUGAUAAGCUUACUUUAGACAAUGCAACCGAAGAACAGUCCAAGAAAAUUCAGCCUCAGUCUGAAGAGGAAAAAAUUAAUGAAAACGAAGAAGCUGCCGAAAAUCAAUCGGAAUUAAUUGAAGAAACUGAAGAAGAACUUAACAAUGUGGAUCCACAAGAAAUGAUCUCCGAAAAAAUGGAAAAGAAUUCGGAAAAUCCCUCAAAGUCUGAGCCUAGAAAUGACAAUGUUACCACUCAAGAACAAUUAGAAGUGGAUGGUGAUGUUAUUGAAACAAUGACGGUACAAAGAAGUGACGAUACUACUGCACAUUGCAAUAAGGAAAUACUGAGUGACAAGAGUGGACAUGUAGAGGAGUUAAGUGCUGCCAAAACACUAGAAUUAAGAAGAAUAUACCAGGAACAAGUUACUUCACAGCAGCCAAUUAUUGCCCAAAAUGAAGACCAUGAAACGUGGCAUGCUAUAUCCAAUCGUAUGUCGCAAAAUGCUCGAGACCUUUGUGAACAAUUGCGUCUUAUCUUAGAACCAACGAAAUGUACAAGACUGAAGGGAGACUACCGAACCGGACGCCGUAUAAAUAUGAAAAAAAUUAUUCCGUAUAUUGCCUCUCAAUUCCGUAAAGACAAGAUCUGGUUGCGAAGAACAAAGCCGGCGCAACGCGAUUAUAAAAUUACUAUAGCUAUUGAUGAUUCAAAGUCAAUGCAUCAUAAUAAUUCGAAAGUCUUGACUCUGGAAGCCAUAUCUUUAGUGUCUCAGGCUUUAACACUGCUGGAAAGUGGACGUUUAAGCGUAAUAUCUUUUGGGGAACAACCCCAAAUAUUGCUCAAUCACAAUGAACAGUUCGAUGGACCAAAGUUAGUUAGUUCCUUGCAGUUUUCACAGGAUAAAACGAAGAUUGCCGAAUUACUCGACUUCAUACGGACGGCAGGCUUAGAAGAAGGUUCUUCUACUUCCGACAACGGCAUUUUCGAAAAUCUUCUCUUAAUUUUAAGCGAUGGCCGGAACAUAUUUAGUGAAGGCAAAUCAAAGGUGCGAAAUGCUAUUAAACUAGCAAGACUUCAACGAAUUUUCCUAGUUUACAUUAUCAUAGAUAAUCCGGAGAACAAGAACUCUAUACUUGACAUACAGACAAUGGAAAUGUUACCAAAUAAUUCUAUUAAUAUAAAAUCUUAUUUAGAAGAUUUUCCAUUCCCCUAUUAUGUUAUAGUGAGAGACUUGAAUCAAUUGCCCACGGUUUUAAGUGAGGCUAUGCGUCAGUGGUUCGAACUAGUAAAUAGUGAACAAUAAAAAUUUUAUAGCAAACAUGUUAAACACACAUAGUUGUUAAUAUAUAAAUGUAUAAAUAUGAAACUGUAAAUACUUACAAGAGAAUACCUAUUUUAAAUACUUUUAUAGACUUUAAUAAACAAAAUUGAAAAUUUAUGAAUAAA
rnacentral:misc_RNA from 1 species